UUGACCUCGGAUCAGGUAGGGAUACCCGCUGAACUUAAGCAUAUCAAUAAGCGGAGGAAAAGAAACCAACCGGGAUUGCCUCAGUAACGGCGAGUGAAGCGGCAAGAGCUCAAAUUUGAAAGCUGGCUCCUUCGGAGUCCGCAUUGUAAUUUGCAGAGGAUGCUUUGGGUGCGGCCCCCGUCUAAGUGCCCUGGAACGGGCCGUCAGAGAGGGUGAGAAUCCCGUCUUGGGCGGGGUGUCCGUGCCCGUGUAAAGCUCCUUCGACGAGUCGAGUUGUUUGGGAAUGCAGCUCUAAAUGGGUGGUAAAUUUCAUCUAAAGCUAAAUACUGGCCGGAGACCGAUAGCGCACAAGUAGAGUGAUCGAAAGAUGAAAAGCACUUUGAAAAGAGAGUUAAACAGCACGUGAAAUUGUUGAAAGGGAAGCGCUUGCAACCAGACUCGCCCGCGGGGUUCAGCCGGCAUUCGUGCCGGUGUACUUCCCCGUGGGCGGGCCAGCGUCGGUUUGGGCGGCCGGUCAAAGGCCCCUGGAAUGUAGUGCCCUCCGGGGCACCUUAUAGCCAGGGGUGCAAUGCGGCCAGCCUAGACCGAGGAACGCGCUUCGGCUCGGACGCUGGCAUAAUGGUUGUAAACGACCCG
rnacentral:rRNA from 1 species